GGAAGGUGGCUCAGGGUGCGGGACACCCACUUAUAUCUCUGCCCUACCAAAGAUUCUGCUGAAGCCUGCAUCAUGUAGCAGUAUUCUCAAAGAAUAAUGGAAAUGGGGUAGGGGGAUGGAUCUGGGAACGGAGAGGUCCAGCAGAUCAUUAGGAUAGAGGAAGAGCAGUGGAGUUAGGCUUUCUCAUGCUGGGAACACUCUAAAUCCUUGGGCCCCUCAAGUAAGGAUUCUCUAGGAGGUCCCAUUGUCAACAUCCUUCCCUUUUUCUUAGCUAUUCUCCCCUGGGCUAGGAACACCCAGGAUGCUCAUCAAGGUCGAGAAGAGUCAAAGUCUAGGAGAGAGACAAAGAACAGAUUCUCUCUCAAACCUCCAAAAGAACUGCACACAUCUUGAUUUCAAAUUUCUGGCCUCCAGAACUGCAUAGGGUGAGGAUGGAGGAAAAAAGAAGGAGGGAAGAGAACAGAAGGGACUGAAUUCUUAAGUGGUGUGAUUCAAUUACCUCCGAAAGAUCUCUGAAGAUUAGCGUGCAAUUACUACUAAUUGCAAAUAGACUGAUAAUGAUUACAAUUCAUCACUCUUCUUGGCCUUGUUCUAAACAAGACCACAGGCAUUAGUGCGGAUUAAUCACAUGAAUGCUCAGUGCUCCAGGGGCUGUGGUCACUAAGUUUUGGAUGAUUCUGUAUUCUGAAUGGUGGAGAAACAGAGUCUCAGGGAUUGCUAAGGACAUCCAAUCCCACCCUCGCCCACCACCCACCUCUCUCCCCUACCUCACCUAACCUAGAGACAUGAGUGGCCCCUCUUCUGGUGACCAUACUUGAGAAAGCAACAACAACAAAAAUACCCUUCCUUUAAUCUGGGUCCCAAUUGCUCAUAUUUGGAAAUUGUAUCCAAGUGACCAUCCUACCUCCUUCUUGUUAUGGUGGAUUCUGUAACUGGAGCCUAGGAGCUAGAAGCGUGGACACAGAUGCUAGAGAAUUCAGUUUUGUUUCCAUUUCUAUGGACCUAAACAGCAGAAAUUGGGACCUUGAUUUUCUUGCCUAUAAAAUAGAGAUAAUA